rnacentral:lncRNA from 1 species
AGAAAUGAAAGACUGAAAUUUUAGGACUUGCCGCUAAGAUUGGGUGGUUUUUGGAAAAUGGAUCUCUGAAGGAAGUUGUAGGUGCGUGAAAUAGAAGAGGUGAGGGAAAGGUUUAUGUUCUAUUGCAGACAGAGGAGGAAAAAGAAGUUGUUGCAGCCAUGUAGUGUGUGAGAGAGAAAAAGGGAAAAAGUUUUCCAGUUUCAUCUGGAGAUUUGUUCAUUUUCCAGUUUCAGAAAAAAUGACAAAUGGGUAUGAGUUUGUGUGAGAAGGGUUUCUUUUCUUCUAUUGAUUUUGACUAGAAGUUUGGAUACAUUGCUUGUUGAAAGAAGGAUUGUGAGUUUGUGGAGGUAGGUUUCAUUCAGUUGCUGUUCUUGGUGCUUUUUGUAGAGAUGUAGUUGUUGUUUGUUAUGCGGCUGAGUGAAAAUGUUGAUUUUCUGGAAAAUGUAGCAACUGAGAUGACAAAGACGAACCCAGCUUUGCCCCCAACUGAGAUGAUGAGGAAGAACCUCGCAUUCGUAAUCUGAUUUCAAUCAAUUACUUAAUCUCAUUCUACAUAUUAAACAAUCAAC